rnacentral:rRNA from 1 species
AGAGUUUGAUCAUGGCUCAGGAUGAACGCUGGCGGUGUGCUUAACACAUGCAAGUCGAACGAACAGUCUCGUAUACUUCGGUAAAUGAGGCGGGUGAGUGGCGGACGGGUGCGUAACACGUAGGAACCUGCCCCAAAGAGGGGGAUAACCAUUGGAAACGAUGGCUAAUCCCGCAUAGUCCCGGAAGGGUAAAGCUUCGGCGCUUUGGGAUGGGCCUGCGGCCUAUCAGGUAGUUGGUGGGGUAAUGGCCCACCAAGCCAACGACGGGUAGGGGGCGUGAGAGCGUGGCCCCCCACACGGGAACUGAGACACGGUCCCGACGCCUACGGGCGGCAGCAGUGAGGAAUCUUGCACAAUGGGGGAAACCCUGAUGCAGCGACACCGCGUGCGGGAAGAAGGCCUUCGGGUCGUAAACCGCUUUUCUGGGGGACGAGGAAGGACGGUACCCCAGGAAUAAGUCCCGGCUAACUACGUGCCAGCAGCCGCGGUAAAACGUAGGGGGCGAGCGUUAUCCGGAAUUACUGGGCGUAAAGGGCGUCUAGGCGGCAAGGAAAGUCUCGCGUGAAAGCUCCCGGCUCAACUGGGAGAGGGCGCGGGAAACUUCCUAGCUAGAGACUCAGAGGGGGGUGCGGAAUUCCCGGUGGAGUGUGAAAUGCGUUGAGAUCGGGAGGAACACCAGUAGCGAAGGCGGCACCCUGGCUGAGUUCUGACGCUAAAGCG